AUCACAUCAAAAUCAACCAUAUCUAGCAAAAUAAGAUCAACUCUAGUAUCAUAACCCUGGAUAGUCACUAAGCAAGAUCGCAAUACCUGAUCCACUACUAAGGACUCACCCACCGGGGUCGAAACAUGAAUCGGCUCUGCCAAAGACUCAGACCUCAUACCCAAUCGAGGAGCAAAAUAAAUAGAUACAUACGAGAAUGUGGACCCGGG
rnacentral:lncRNA from 1 species